GCCGGGAUGGCGGAAUUUGGCAGACGCACUAGGUUCAGGACCUAGCGCCCGCAAGGGUAUAGGGGUUCAAAUCCCCUUCCCGGCA
rnacentral:tRNA from 1 species